UGACGAUUAAGAUAGCAGUGGCAUAGCCCA
rnacentral:piRNA from 1 species